UGCCGAUAAAGCCAAGGAAAUUCUCACACAGCCAGUGAUUGUGGAUUACUAUGAGCUCAAAGAUUUUUCCUCUGGCAAAAUGGGAUGUUUCAAUGGACACUCUUUAAGAUCAAUGAGAAAAAACAUGCCGCCCUGUUCAGACUCUAGCUUUGACAAAAGCAUGGAAAUAUUAAGUGAAACCGUCAAUCGAAGACACUUUACAAGGCAGUUGGCAAAGCCGAAAUCAGACCCAAAAAAAGAAGAAUAGAAAGAAGUCAACAGGACACUGAAGACUAGAGCUGAUGCAAAAGCUGCAGAACAAGUCCAUGAAGAAAAUGGGGAUUUGGAGGUCCGCCGAAGCUGCAGGCUUUGACAAAGCCAUU